AGCAGUAGCCGCGGUAAUGCGUAGGUGGCAAGCGUUGUCCGGAAUUAUUGGGCGUAAAGGGCUCGCAAGCGGUUUCUUAAGUCUGAUGUGAAAGCCCCCGGCUCAACCGGGGAGGGUCAUUGGAAACUGGGAAACUUGAGUGCAGAAGAGGAGUGUGGAAUUCCACGUGUAGCGGUGAAAUGCGUAGAGAUGUGGAGGAACACCAGUGGCGAAGGCGACUCUCUGGUCUGUAACUGACGCUGAGGAGCGAAAGCGUGGGGGGCGAACAGGAUUAGAGACCCCAGUAGUCCCUGUCUCUUAUAC
rnacentral:rRNA from 1 species